rnacentral:lncRNA from 1 species
GGAGGAGUCACGACUGAAGCCACACAGCUGACAUCAGAGCCAAAGCAUAAGCCUCAGUCUCUCUGACCCAGAGCUGCCACCCUUGCUGCCUUGGGAAGAAGGAAGCCCCCUCCUGUUCUAUCCUUGAGCUGCCUUGGCAAGGAGGGGCCCCUUGCUGCCGCCAUCCUCACAGGACACCACCCACAUGAGGGGAUGAAUCUCAGUUGCAUUCAGUUGUUGCCCCCCUCGAACCUCCCUUGAGCCUCAGGAGAAACCACCCUGAUUCAGAGGUCCAGAGAAGACCUGACUAGCCCAAGGUAAUUCCAUCCC